UACGUAGGGUGCAAGCGUUGUCCGGAAUUAUUGGGCGUAAAGAGCUCGUAGGCGGUCUGUCGCGUCGGCUGUGAAAACCCGGGGCUCAACUCCGGGCCUGCAGUCGAUACGGGCAGACUGGAGUUCGGCAGGGGAGACUGGAAUUCCUGGUGUAGCGGUGAAAUGCGUAGAUAUCAGGAGGAAUACCGAUGGCGAAGGCAGGUCUCUGGGCUGACACUGACGCUCAUGCACGAAAGCGUGGGGAGCAAACAGG
rnacentral:rRNA from 1 species